rnacentral:rRNA from 1 species
GGCGGACGGGUGAGUAACGCGUGGGAAUCUACCCAGUAGUGGGGGACAACUACCGGAAACGGUAGCUAAUACCGCAUACGCCCUAUGGGGGAAAGGCUUCGGCCGCUAUUGGAUGAGCCUGCGUCAGAUUAGCUAGUUGGUAGGGUAAAGGCCUACCAAGGCAACGAUCUGUAGCUGGUCUGAGAGGACGAACAGCCACACUGGGACUGAGACACGGCCCAGACUCCUACGGGAGGCAGCAGUGGGGAAUAUUGGACAAUGGGCGAAAGCCUGAUCCAGCAAUGCCGCGUGUGUGAAGAAGGCCUGCGGGUUGUAAAGCACUUUCAGUUGGGAAGAUGAUGACGUUACCAACAGAAGAAGCACCGGCUAAAUCCGUGCCAGCAGCCGCGGUAAUACGGAUGGUGCGAGCGUUAAUCGGAAUUACUGGGCGUAAAGCGCGC